rnacentral:rRNA from 1 species
UUUUGCGCAAUGGGCGAAAGCCUGACGCAGCGACGCCGCGUGGAGGAUGACGGCUUCGGGUUGUAAACUCCUGUCAGAGGUGAAGAAUGCCUGAUUUAUCAGGUUUGACGGUAACCUCAGAGGAAGCCCCGGCUAACUACGUGCCAGCAGCCGCGGUAAUACGUAGGGGGCAAACGUUGCUCGGAAUUACUGGGCGUAAAGGGUGUGUAGGUGGCUGAGUAAGUCACGGAUGAAAUCCCGAGGCUCAACCUCGGAAUUGUCCUUGAAACUGCUCAGCUUGAGGAUAGCUGAGGAAAACGGAAUUCCCGGUGGAGCGGUGAAAUGCGUAGAUAUCGGGAGGAACACCAGAGGCGAAGGCGGUUUUCUAAGCUAUUCCUGACACUGAGACACGAAAGCUAGGGGAGCAAACGGGAUUAGAUACCCCGGUAGUCCUAGCUGUAAACGAUGGGCACUAGAUGUUUUCGCUUUAAGCGGGAGUGUCGAAGUUAACGCGUUAAGUGCCCCGC